rnacentral:tmRNA from 1 species
GGGGGCGAAAGGGCUUCGACCUGGCUCCGGAGGCGGAAGUGGCGCACCGAGGUUGUCAGGAGGCCUCGUAAAACACCUGGCAAAACCAAACAUGCCGAGCCUACACCGGCAUACGCAAUGGCUGCGUAAAUGCAGCCGCGCCUUCGUAGUCCGUGCCUGUCGGGCUGCGUGAGGCGAAAAGAAUGCAGGCUGACCCGCUCUGAGCGCGGCCACGUCGCCGGCGGGGAACCCGGCAGAACCGGGCAAACGGGCUGGUCGGCGGCGCAUCCCGUCAAUCGGAGGCGCGCCGACGAGACAAACGUAGGUUGACUACGUGCGUAGAAGCUUCGGCCAGAAGGGCCAUGGGACGCGGGUUCGAUUCCCGCCGCCUCCACCA